AUUGAACGCUGGCGGCGGGCCUAACACAUGCAAGUCGAACGAGCGGCGGACAGGGGAGUACUGUCUGGGAACCUGCGUGAAAGCGGGGGAUAACUGCGGGAAACGGUAUCGAAACACGCGUAACAUCCGAUUUGCCCAGAUGGGGUUGGCUAGUAGGUGGGGUAACGGCUCACCUAGGCGAGGAUCCCUAGCUGGGCUGAGAGGAUGACCAGCCACACUGGAACUGAGACACGGUCCAGACUCCUACGGGAGGCAGCAGGGGGGAAUAUUGAACAAUGGGCGCAAGCCUGAUGCAGCCAUGCCGCGUGUGUGAAGAAGGCUUUCGGGUUGUAAAGCACUUUUAGCGGGGAGGCGUUACCCGCAGAAGAAGCACCGGCUAACUCCGUGCCAGCAGCCGCGGUAAUUC
rnacentral:rRNA from 1 species